rnacentral:lncRNA from 1 species
GAGAGAUUGAGAGUGAGUGCACAAGCAGGGGGAGAGGCAGAAGGAGAUGGAGAAGCAGACUCCCCACUGAGCAGGGAGCCCAUCAUAGGACCCGUAGGACUUGAGCCCAGGAUUGUGACCUGAGCCGAAGGCAGACACUUAACCAACUGAGCCAACUGGUUGCCCCCUCCCUCACUUUUCUGACUGAGAUUCUUGGCUAUUGUUUUUUCUUUCUUUUAUGCCUUUUUUUUUGUAUUUUUUUUAUUGGAGUUUUUUUUUUAAUAUUUUAUUUAUUUAUUCAUAGAGACACAGCUAGAGAGAGAGAGGCAGAGACACAGGCAGAGGGAGAAGCAGGCACCAUGCAGGGAGCCUGAUGUGGGACUCGAUCCCGGUCCUCCAGGAUCACACCCUGGGCUGCAGGCGGCGCUAAACCGCUGCGCCACCGGGGCUGCCCUUUUAUUGGAGUUUGAUUUGCCAACAUAUAGUAUAACACCCAAUGCUCAUCCCAUUUUCAAUGCUCAAUUCUUUCUGGUCUCCUAGCAACUUGUCCUUCCUUACUGGCCUCUCUUACCACCCCGGGGUUCCACCCAGCCACCUGCCCAGACUACAAACUAACCUUUCCCUCCUUAUCUUCAUUUUUCUUCUUCCUCGGAUCUUUCUUUGUAAGAAUAUCCCAUGACUGAGGCAACAGCUCCCAUUCGUGGUCAUGUAAAAAGUGUUUGUGGGAGCAGGAGUGGGGGUAUUGGGGAAAGUGAAAUAUUAAUGAGGGAGACAGAAGGUGGAGUGUGCCCUGACCUGGACCACACAUCUCAUCUUAGAACUCUCACAGAGUGUCCUUCUUCACCUUGUCCCUCACAGUUAUGUGUCCUAGGUCCCUGGUUCAAUACGACUGCCUUCUUUUCUGGACUCAAGAAGAGAGCAGAUUUCUCCAUCUACCCUUCUUAUAUGCUAAUGACCUCAAAACUGUGUCCAUAAAGCAGGAGUCUUGCUGCUGGUGGAGGAUUUGGAUUCAUCUGGUCAGUGCCUCAUUGACCUCAGACCACCCUUGUCUUGCCAAGGACUCCUGUAUCUGGGGGCUUUAGCUGCUGACCUGUUGCCUGAUAGUUUUUCCUCACCAUGGGUAAGCUUUCCUUGUUUUUGAAUCCAUUACUUUAGUUCCAUUCUUAAGCCAAACUGUUUUAUUCUGUUGUUGAAAUUCACUGCAGAGCAUAUUGCAUGAGAUUCACAUUUUUACCUACUUUUUUAAACUACUUCUAAUAAAAUGAGAUGAUAAUUUUUU